rnacentral:rRNA from 1 species
UACGGAGGGUGCAAGCGUUAUCCGGAUUCACUGGGUUUAAAGGGUGCGUAGGUGGGUUGGUAAGUCAGUGGUGAAAUCCCCGAGCUUAACUUGGGAACUGCCAUUGAUACUAUUAGUCUUGAAUACUGUGGAGGUGAGCGGAAUAUGUCAUGUAGCGGUGAAAUGCUUAGAUAUGACAUAGAACACCAAUUGCGAAGGCAGCUCACUACACAGCCAUUGACGCUGAGGCACGAAAGCGUGGGGAUCAAACAGG